AGAGGAGAAAGAAGGAGGGAAGGGAGAAGUGACUAGUUGUCCUUCAAAGACCCCCUUCUCUCCACAGAGGGAGGCAUGCGUGCCCCCUUUCCCUCCUCCCCACACUCCUUCCAGACAAAAGCAAUUAUUUCUUGUAGAAUGUAGUGUGGUUGUGUGCGUCUGUGGAAGAGAGGGAUGGAGGGGAGGGUGUGUGAGAUUGAAAGAGGGGAAAAUAAGAUGGUGUUGGAGGGGUAGAAGAGGAUGGGGAGGUGAGGAGGAGGAGGAGGGAUGCUAACACCUAAAGCAUCCAACCCUUCAUCCUCCAAACACUCUCCAGGCCAAACUCUUCUCUUGCCUCUGCCACAGAAACCACCGAUUCCUGGUGCAUAUUCACAAACGCACGGAGGCCGCUCGGAUGAUCUCAUGAACCUACAGCAGGUGUUCCACCUAAAAACUUUGAAGGUGGAAAAGAAACUUUCUCUUCUGCCUCUUGUCUCACUUGCACAAACGUGGGCAUGUGCUGGAUUUUUUUAAGAUUUUCACCCUAUUAAAUAUAAUUUUCCCUCGGCAUGUUGCUCAAAGGGUUUGCAUCGUUUGACAAGUGAAAUAAACACACGGAAUACGAAUGCUACGCGAUACCUGCCGAUGAUAUCUAUCCCCCUUUAUCUUUGUCUCCGUCCCACCGUCUUGUCUGUGAAGGACCAUACCUAAAUUCAGCAGACAGCCCCCUUCAGUGUGUUCAGUCUUGCUGCCUAUAGGGCCCCUGCAGCGAGUUGGUCCCUGCAGGUUCACUCCCCAAGGACUUGGAGAAACCCAGGGGUCCGAAGGAGAGACGGAGAGAGAGGGAGAGAGAGAUCUCCCUUGGGGGGCAGCUCCAGCCAAUAACCCCUGCUGGACCGCUCUCAUUGGGGGCCCAUGCGGUGCUGAUUGUCCACCUCCCACCCUAUCAAGCCUCCCAAUCCAUACAGAGAUAUAUGGCUCGUUCCAUUGUUUUCUAGGCUCUAUCUUCUCCUGUGCUGUAUUGAGAAAUGCUCUUCUAAAAUUGUCUCUUUCUCUCGCUCUCUCUCUCUCUCUCUGUCUCUCUUCGUCCCUCAUUGUCCCUCUUGCUCUCUCCAUCUCUCACCCUCAACGUGUGUCUCUCAGUGGUUACCAUGGUGACCUGGUGGCUGUGGUGAUGCUGCUGAGGAGAAAGAGGCGCGUGCACGUGAGAGAGGGUAGGAAGGAGGGAGGAAGGCAAGAGGGGUGCAAGGAUGGGUUGUGUGACACAUUUAAGGUAAUUAAGAAAUCAAAAUCAUUUCCAGGAUUAAAUAUCACUGCACCACACUCAUGUCGUGUCAUACAAAGAUGCUGGUUUGCUGCUGAUUCACUUUGAAGGUGCAGGAUGUUUAUAGGGCCCAGCAUGACACCGAGGCAUGGCCUGCAUAAUCAAGCCAUUAAAGUAUGUGGAAACAAACCAUAAAGUUCCUUAAGAUUACAUUUUUUAAGCCUGUGUGUUUCUAAAUCCUAUAACUUUAUGACAUAACCGAUGACGUUGACAUGACACAGUGGAUAUGCAGCAGGAGCUCUGCUGUUUUGAAUAUGAGGCCUCUUCAAAUUGGUGAUUCAUCUAUAUGCUGCCACCUGCAGGCCACAGGAACCACAACCCUUCCUGCUCUUCAUAAGCCAAGAAACCUGCAGUAGCCUCGUGCACACUGUAGCUGGCAGUGACUUUUAAACUUGAUUUGCAUGUUCUCUACUCUAAAUCUAAAAAAGGACUAGCAUAAACACAAA
ensembl:lncRNA